CAAUUCCAUGUGUAGCGGUGAAAUGCGCAGAGAUAUGGAGGAACACCAGUGGCGAAGGACGACUUUCUGGUCUGUAACUGACGCUGAUGUGCGAAAGCGUGGGGAUCAAACAGGAUUAGAUACCCUGGUAGUCCACGCCGUAAACGAUGAGUGCUAAGUGUUAGGGGGUUUCCGCCCCUUAGUGCUGCAGCUAACGCAUUAAGCACUCCGCCUGGGGAGUACGGCCGGCAAGGCUUAAACUCAAAGGAAUUGACGGGGACCCGCACAAGCGGUGGAGCAUGUGGUUUAAUUCGAAGCAACGCGAAGAACCUUACCAAAUCUUGACAUCCUUUGACCGCUCUAGAGAUAGAGUCUUCCCCUUCGGGGGACAAAGUGACAGGUGGUGCAUGGUUGUCGUCAGCUCGUGUCGUGAGAUGUUGGGUUAAGUCCCGCAACGAGCGCAACCCUUAAGCUUAGUUGCCAUCAUUCAGUUGGGCACUCUAAGUUGACUGCCGGUGACAAACCGGAGGAAGGUGGGGAUGACGUCAAAUCAUCAUGCCCCUUAUGAUUUGGGCUACACACGUGCUACAAUGGACAAUACAAAGGGCAGCGAAACCGCGAGGUCAAGCAAAUCCCAUAAAGUUGUUCUCAGUUCGGAUUGUAGUCUGCAACUCGACUACAUGAAGCUGGAAUCGCUAGUAAUCGUAGAUCAGCAUGCUACGGUGAAUACGU
rnacentral:rRNA from 1 species